rnacentral:rRNA from 1 species
UCAACGAACUUCGGGUUAGUGGCGGACGGGUGAGUAACGCGUGAGAAUCUGCCCUCAGGAGGGGGACAACAGCUGGAAACGGCUGCUAAUACCCCAUAUGCCGCGAGGUGAAAUGAAUUUCGCCUGAGGAUGAGCUCGCGUCUGAUUAGCUAGUUGGUGUAGGUAAUGGCUUACCAAGGCAUCGAUCAGUAGCUGGUCUGAGAGGAUGAUCAGCCACACUGGGACUGAGACACGGCCCAGACUCCUACGGGAGGCAGCAGUGGGGAAUUUUCCGCAAUGGGCGAAAGCCUGACGGAGCAACGCCGCGUGAGGGAUGAAGGCCUCUGGGCUGUAAACCUCUUUUAUCAAGGAAGAAGAUCUGACGGUACUUGAUGAAUAAGCCACGGCUAAUUCCGUGCCAGCAGCCGCGGUAAUACGGGAGUGGCAAGCGUUAUCCGGAAUUAUUGGGCGUAAAGCGUCCGCAGGCGGCCCUUCAAGUCUGCUGUUAAAAAGUGGAGCUUAACUCCAUCAUGGCAGUGGAAACUGUUGGGCUUGAGUGUGGUAGGGGCAGAGGGAAUUCCCGGUGUAACGG